CCUACGGGCGUCAGCAGUUCUUACUAUUUUUCCCUUUCCUCGCUUCUGCCCCCGCCCCGUCGCGUGAAGGAUGACUGCCCUAUGGGUUGUAAACUUCUUUUAUAAAGGAAUAAAACGAGGCACGUGUGCCUUUUUGCAUGUACUUUAUGAAUAAGGAUCGGCUAACUCCGUGCCAGCAGCCGCGGUAAUACGGAGGAUCCGAGCGUUAUCCGGAUUUAUUGGGUUUAAAGGGAGCGUAGAUGGGUUGUUAAGUCAGUUGUGAAAGUUUGCGGCUCAACCGUAAAAUUGCAAUUGAUACUGGCAGUCUUGAGUACAGUUGAGGUAGGCGGAAUUCGUGGUGUAGCGGUGAAAUGCUUAGAUAUCACGAAGAACCCCGAUUGCGAAGGCAGCUUACUAAACUGUGACUGACAUUGAUGCUCGAAAGUGUGGGUAUCAAACAGGAUUAGAUACCCGUGUAGUC
rnacentral:rRNA from 1 species